UUUAGAUAGGGUGGGCUAAAAGUCUAAAAUCUAUCUAACCCACUUAAACAGGAUGGGCUGAAACGUCCAACCCACUUCAUCUUAGUAGCAACCCACAUACCUUCGCAUCGGUGGGCAAGCCGCAGGUGUGGUGGUCGAUGACGCGAGCUGCGUCUGUCUCCCCGCCAUUGUCAUACUCGUGCUCAACCUCUCCUCCACCUAGCGC
rnacentral:lncRNA from 1 species